rnacentral:rRNA from 1 species
UACGUAGGGGGCUAGCGUUGUCCGGAUUUAUUGGGCGUAAAGAGCGUGUAGGCGGCCAGAUAGGUCUGCUGUGAAAACUCGAGGCUCAACCUCGAGAUGUCGGCGGAAACCAUUUGGCUAGAGUCCGGAAGAGGAAAGUGGAAUUCCUGGUGUAGCGGUGAAAUGCGCAGAUAUCAGGAAGAACACCAAUGGCGAAGGCAGCUCGCUGGGACGUGACUGACGCUGAGACGCGAAAGCGUGGGGAGCAAACAGG